AUGCCUAAAUCAAAGGAACUUGUUUCUUCAAGCUCAUCUGGCAGUUGAUUCUGAUAGUGAAGUCGACAAGAAGUUAAAAGAUAAAAAAGCAAGUUGCUCCAGAAAAGCCUGUAAAGAAGCAGAAGACUGGUGAAACCUCCGGAGCCCUGUCCUCCUCCAAGCAGAGCAGCAGCAGGGAUGAUAACAUGUUCCAGAUUGGAAAAAUGAGAUACGUCAGUGUGCGAGACUUUAAAGGGAAAGUCCUAAUUAAUAUUAGAGAAUAUUGGAUGGAUCAAGAAGGUGAAAUGCAACCAGGAAGAAAAGGUAUUUCUCUAAACCCCGAGCAGUGGAGCCAGCUGAAGGAACAGAUUUCUGACACUGUAAGCAAACUGUAA